rnacentral:rRNA from 1 species
GACGAACGCUGGCGGCGUGCUUAACACAUGCAAGUCGAACGGGAUUUAGUAAACGGAAGCCUCGGUGGAAGAUUACUAAUGAGAGUGGCGAACGGGUGAGUAACGCGUGAGCAACCUGCCUAUGACAGUGGGAUAGCCUCGGGAAACCGGGAUUAAUACCGCAUAAAAUCGUAGAAACACAUGUUUCAACGGUCAAAGAUUUAUCGGUCAUAGAUGGGCUCGCGUCUGAUUAGCUAGUUGGUGAGAUAACAGCCCACCAAGGCGACGAUCAGUAGCCGGUCUGAGAGGAUGAACAGCCACAUUGGAACUGAGACACGGUCCAAACUCCUACGGGAGGCAGCAGUGGGGAAUAUUGCACAAUGGGGGAAACCCUGAUGCAGCGACGCCGCGUGAACGAAGAAGGUAUUCGUAUCGUAAAGUUCUGUCCUAUGGGAAGAUAAUGACAGUACCAUAGAAGAAAGCUCCGGCUAAAUACGUG